UAACUGACGCCAACUCCAGUCUUUCAAGAGAAAUUUACAUGAUGCUCCCAGGUGGGCAUAUUAAGAAACAGGAUGAAUCAUUGUCAAGAAUGAUGAAGAAAGAUACUCUGGGGUCUUGAAUCUCAAAAUCUGCAUGACCAAAAUGGAGAGAGCUAAGAAAAUAAAAAUCCAAAACGUAUUCACUCUUAAGAUUGAUGCUUAAAAAUCCAGCAUUAUCUGUUAAAAUGGCAAGAUGUCAGAGUGUAUGGAUUGUUAAAGUUGGAGUAGCUGAUUUGGUUCUGCAUGAACUUGGGGAUUCAUAUCAGAUCAGGAGAAAACUUCUGUGUCUAAGCUUCCAUGUCCUAUAGACUGAUAAAGUACCAAAAAACAUUGUUACAGAGAUCUGAAUAAAUCAAAUAAAACCUCUGCUUUCCCACGUAA